ACGCACGCUGGCGGCGUGCUUCACACAUGCCAGUCGCACGGAAAGGCCCUGCUUUUGUGGGGUGCUCGAGUGGCGAACGGGUGAGUAACACGUGAGUAACCUGCCCUUGACUUUGGGAUAACUUCAGGAAACUGGGGCUAAUACCGGAUAGGAGCUCCUGCUGCAUGGUGGGGGUUGGAAAGUUUCGGCGGUUGGGGAUGGACUCGCGGCUUAUCAGCUUGUUGGUGGGGUAGUGGCUUACCAAGGCUUUGACGGGUAGCCGGCCUGAGAGGGUGACCGGCCACAUUGGGACUGAGAUACGGCCCAGACUCCUACGGGAGGCAGCAGUGGGGAAUAUUGCACAAUGGGCGGAAGCCUGAUGCAGCAACGCCGCGUGCGGGAUGACGGCCUUCGGGUUGUAAACCGCUUUCGCCUGUGACGAAGCGUGAGUGACGGGAAUGGGUAAAGAAGCACCGGCUAACUACGU
rnacentral:rRNA from 1 species